CCUACGGGUGGCAGCAGUGGGGAAUAUUGGACAAUGGGGGAAACCCUGAUCCAGCGACGCCGCGUGAGUGAAGAAGUAUUUCGGUACGUAAAGCUCUAUCAGCAGGGAAGAAAAUUACGGUACCUGACUAAUACGCCCCGGCUAACUCCGUGCCAGCAGCCGCGGUCAUACGUAGGGGGCAAGCGUUAGCCGGUUAUACUGGGGGGAAAGUUAGCCGAGACGGCAGGGCAAGACCGGAGGGAAAUGCCGGGGGCCAACCCCGGGACUGCUCUGGAAACUGGGAAGCUGGAGUGCAGGAGAGGUAAGCGGAAUUCCAGGUGAAGCGGUGAAAUGCGUAGAUAUCAGGAGGAACACCAGAGGCGAAGGCGGCUUACUGGACUGUAACUGACGUUGAGGCUCGAAGGCGUGGGGAGCAAACAGGAUUAGAUACCCCUGUAGUC
rnacentral:rRNA from 1 species